GGGGUUGUGGCUCAGCGGCAGAGCAUUCACCUUGCACGUGCGGGGCCCUGGGUUUGAUCCUCAGCACCACA
rnacentral:tRNA from 1 species